rnacentral:rRNA from 1 species
GGGCCCGCACAAGCAGUGGAUUAUGUGGUUUAAUUCGAAGCAACGCGAAGAACCUUACCAGGUCUUGACAUCCCUUGCAUAGCCUAGAGAUAGGUGAAGUCUUUCGGGACAAGGAGACAGGUGGUGCAUGGUUGUCGUCAGCUCGUGUCGUGAGAUGUUGGGUUAAGUCCCGCAACGAGCGCAACCCUUACUAUUAGUUGCUACGUAAAGAGCACUCUAAUGGGACUGCCGUUGACAAAACGGAGGAAGGUGGGGACGACGUCAAAUCAUCAUGCCCCUUAUGACCUGGGCUACACACGUAAUACAAUGGCGGUAAACAGAGGGAAGCAACCCCGCGAGGGAGAGCAAACCCCUAAAAUCGUCUCAGUUCGGAUUGCAGGCUGCAACUCGCCUGCAUGAAGUCGGAAUUGCUAGUAAUCGCAGGUCAGCAUACUG